rnacentral:rRNA from 1 species
CAGUCGCCGCGGGAAUACGAAGGGUGCAAGCGUUACUCGGAAUUACUGGGCGUAAAGCGUGCGUAGGUGGUGGUUUAAGUCCGUUGUGAAAGCCCUGGGCUCAACCUGGGAAUUGCAGUGGAUACUGGGUCACUAGAGUGUGGUAGAGGAUAGUGGAAUUUCCGGUGUAGCAGUGAAAUGCGUAGAGAUCGGAAGGAACAUCUGUGGCGAAGGCAACUAUCUGGCCUAAUACUGACGCUGAGGUACGAAAGCUAGGGGAGCAAACAGGAUUAGAUACCCCCGUAGUCCCUGUCUCUUAUAC